GAUGAACGCUGGCGGCGUGCCUAAUACAUGCAAGUCGAGCGCGAGAAUGAGGAGCUUGCUCCUCAUAAUCGAGCGGCGGACGGGUGAGUAACACGUAGGCAACCUACCCUUGAGAUUGGGAUAACUACCGGAAACGGUAGCUAAUACCGGAUACGACUUUUCCACACAAGUGGAAUUGUUAAAAGGCGGAUUUAUCUGCCGCUCAUGGAUGGGCCUGCGGUGCAUUAGCUAGUUGGUGAGGUAGUGGCUCACCAAGGCGACGAUGCAUAGCCGACCUGGGAGGGUGAUCGGCCACACUGGGACUGAGAGACGGCCCAGACUCCUACGGGAGGCAGCAGUAGGGAAUCUUCCGCAAUGGACGCAAGUCUGACGGAGCAACGCCGCGUGAGUGAUGAAGGGUUUCGGCUCGUAAAACUCUGUUGUUAAGGAAGAACACUUGAGGUAGUAACUGGCCUUGAGAUGACGGUACUUAACCAGAAAGCCACGGCUAACUACGUGCCAGCAGCCGCCGUAA
rnacentral:rRNA from 1 species